GCGUCCACUAGCAAAGUCCCUCUCGCCUCGAUUUCUCUGGUCACCAGGUCCCGGUAGAACUGGCGUAUGCAUGAUGGAUCAUCUACAUGGAAUCCAAGGCUGAUAGUGGCAGCCUCCAACAUCGACGAUUGUACGCUCUUCAAUCUCCCUCUAUUGACUAUUGAGUUGAUGUUGAUAUGUGCAAUGCGGCUUCUAAUAUAUGAUUCUGGGUGAUCAAAUUUGCAUAAACCUGCACAGACCCAUGGUUUAUCAUGGAUGGCCUCCUCACCAACUGAAGCUACAGACUUCUGUUCGAUGAUUGUUCUUGCUGUGACGAUGCCUGACAUCCAGAGUUAUGUCGAGAUGUCUGAGUAGUGGAAAGCUUCACCAUUACCAACUGAACCUAUGGAGCUUUUUAUUGGCAUCCUUUCAGCUGCGGAAGCCUGGAGAUUCCAAAUGCAAAAUAGCAGAUUCUUUGAAAUUGACCACGGCGGAAGUUCGAGCGACCAUGGGACCUACCUUGCGGAAUGUCCGGAACCACACGCGGCAACUGUUGCGAGUUUGUGUUGAGAGGGGUAAUGCGUUGAGCAACCCAGUGAUGACUUAACUAAACUAAAAGAGCACUAAGGCUUACUCAUAUCUAGAUGAGGCUCGUAGCAUUGGUGCUGAUGUAGACCUAUGGGUUUCAGGUGAUCAACGGUAUUAUUAUCCACUAAAAGAUUAAUCAGGAUCUGAGAUAUAUGAGUUAUCUUCAGAGUUGGUUGCUGAGUAGAGCUCAUUUCAGCCAUAAUAUGAAAAAGGGUGGAGAAGAGAGAGCUAAAGGGGCUGAGAACCAAACUUCUAUGCCAUUAAGAAGUUUUAACCAAGUGUUGGUUGCUUGAGGCUGAGAAUCAGACUUCUUCAUCUUAUUAAGCCAUUGAAGUCACUUGAGAGAAGGCAUUAGUUCACUGGAGUCACUUGCAACGAACAUCCUUACUCAUCCUUUUGCUCCUUUAUACCCUGCAUAUAAGUGUAUCCUAAAUUUGAUAUUUGUUAGUCAGAUUUUGGAGGGUUUUUGUUUACUCACUUUGUAAAAUCCAGCUUUGGGAAAUAAAAGUCAAUACUUUGUGUAAAGUGUGUACUGGCUACUAAGUAUUGGGAGAGGAGAUAAAUGAUUCUCCGGUAAACGUUUUAGGAUUGGGAGAACUUCCAGAGAGUAAGUUCCUUGCCGUGUCAUUAACUCUUUUGAUUGUUUGAUUGCAUUAUCAAAUAUCACCGCAGUGUUAUCACAGACAUUA